rnacentral:rRNA from 1 species
UUAUUGUGCAAAGGGAGCAUAAUAAUUAGUCUUUUAAUUGAAGACUGGAAUGAAAGAGUAAACCAAGAAAGAAAUCUUUCUUUAGAGAGUGAAGUCUUUUUAGUAAAAAGGCUAAAAUAAUACUUAAAGACGAGAAGACCUAAAACUUUUAUAUUAAACACUUUGUAAGAGCUAUAUUUUGCUGGGGUGGCAGGGGAAAUUGACUUCUCUAAGAAAACUAAGAUUAAGGCUAAUAACCAAAAAUUUUGAAAAAGGAAUAAGCUUGAGGGAUAACAGCUUAAUUUGUUUUGAAAGUUCAAAUUGACAAGCAAGUUUAGGACCUCGAUGUUGAAAUAAAAGCCCUUUAUUUGUGCAAA